rnacentral:lncRNA from 1 species
AUGAUUACAGGUGAUGCUCCUAUGCAGUGGAAAACAGUUGAUAUUUUGCUUUUUUCUCAGAUCUGUUUCGUGCUGUUCUUCAGGGUUCCUAAGGUGCUGUCUUGUUUUCUCCUUCUUCCUACUCCGUUGACCUUCCAUAAUGAUUAUUAUAAUGAUGAUGAUGCUGAAAAUCAGGAAAAAGCCACAGCAAUUGCGUCAAAUCUGAAGCAAGCUAAAGAACACCUGAAAGCUUUAGAACUUUCUCCUUUUGAUAUGAUGAGUAACAAUGAUGAUCCGUCUCUUCAAAAAAGGAUGUCUGGCUACCAGAAAAAGCCAUGGCAGUCCGCCUUUAUUUUUUUCCUUUAAUAUCUGGUUUGAUAAAAUGACUAAAUUCUAAUAUAUAGACAGAAAUUGAGUACACAGUUUAUUUUUCUACAGUUAUCUAAUCGUAUUACUUACAAAUUUUGACAGCAGUGUAAGAAAGCAGUGUCUUCUACCUUCCAAUGUCUGGAAAAAAAUCUGUACACAAUUUUAGACAAUUUUCCAUGUGCUUUUGUACUGAUGAGUGUUGCAAUACAUAACCGAUGCCAACUGACAAGUACAGUCCACUUACUGAUUCCGUGGUUGAAUAGAACAAGUUUGUGGCAUUAAAGUAAGUGAAACAUAAAGAUAAUAUGAAAAGAGUUUCCUCUGCAAGUCUUGAAAUUGUUAAAAAGCAAAACAAACAAACAAACAAACAAACAAACAAAACCCCAAAAGCUUUGAAUUGUCCCUUCCUCUCAGCAACUCAGCUUAGUAGCAAUUGGCCUGGGAACGGUUCUCGGUUCUCCCACAUGAAAGCUUCUUCCUUCAUAAAAUAGAGAUGAUGAUCCCUCCUAGCAUAAUUCAAAUAAUUGACUGUCUGCAUCUAUUUUUGUUGAUAUAUGUCAACCCUGCAAAACUAACAGAGCAAUUAGUUAGCUGAAGCAAUUUUACAGUGUCAAAAAAGGCUAUCCAACGCAAUACAGUGUAGGUAAAAUACUUGCUUUUAUGCUGAAGUUACCAAAAACUCUUUUCCUCUAUUUAAAAACAGUGCAGCUAACCUACAAAUCCAAAGAAGAAAUCCACCCGCAAGUAAGAUUUUCAGGCACUGUGACACAGAACACUAUAGGUUACUACUUUUUAGCUUCUCAUUUUGGAGUCAUGCAAACAGAAGCUCAUUGAAUUACACCAUAGAGAGAUCUUCUAAGCUGAAAUCUAAUUAAAAGAAACCACGAACAAGUAUUUUCUCGGAGCUACCAAAAAGGCAGUGUAAUCAACAACGUGCAGAACUACUGAAGUAAUUAAACUGCGUUUAACACAAGUCUGAACCGCAGCACUGCAUCCAUCCCCUUACGCUGUGAACCUAUUUUCUUGUGUACGAACGUAUGCUCCAAAGUGCAAUAAAAAUGCAUUUUGGUAUGAACGUCUUAACA